rnacentral:rRNA from 1 species
GAUGAACGCUGGCGGCGUGCCUAAUACAUGCAAGUCGAACGCACAGCGAAAGGUGCUUGCACCUUUCAAGUGAGUGGCGAACGGGUGAGUAACACGUGGACAACCUGCCUCAAGGCUGGGGAUAACAUUUGGAAACAGAUGCUAAUACCGAAUAAAACUCAGUGUCGCAUGACACAAAGUUAAAAGGCGCUUUGGCGUCACCUAGAGAUGGAUCCGCGGUGCAUUAGUUAGUUGGUGGGGUAAAGGCCUACCAAGACAAUGAUGCAUAGCCGGAUUGAGAGACUGAGCGGACACAAGGGGACUGAGACACGGCCCAGACUCCUACGGGAGGCUGCAGUAGGGAAUCUUCCACAAUGGGCGAAAGCCUGAUGGAGAAAGGCCGCGUGUGUGAUGAAGGCUUUCGGGUCGUAAAGCACUGUUGUAUGGGAAGAACAGCUAGAAUAGGGAAUGAUUUUAGUUUGACGGUACCAUACCAGAAAGGGACGGCUAAAUACGUGCCAGCAGCCGCAGUAA